GGCUCAGGAUGAACGCUAGCGGCAGGCUUAACACAUGCAAGUCGAGGGGCAGCGGGAUGUAGCAAUACAUUGCCGGCGACCGGCGGAUGGGUGCGUAACGCGUAUGCAACCUACCUUAUACAGGGGAAUAACCUUCGAAAGGGAGACUAACACCCCAUAGUAUUGAUUUAAGGCAUCUUAGAUUAAUUAAAUAUUUAUAGGUAUAAGAUGGGCAUGCGUAUGAUUAGCUAGUUGGUAAGGUAACGGCUUACCAAGGCGACGAUCAUUAGGGGUUCUGAGAGGAAGGUCCCCCACACUGGUACUGAGACACGGACCAGACUCCUACGGGAGGCAGCAGUGAGGAAUAUUGGUCAAUGGGCGCAAGCCUGAACCAGCCAUGCCGCGUGCAGGAAAAGACGGCCUUAUGGGUUGUAAACUGCUUUUACAUAAGACUAACCGUAUAUUUGCGAAUAUACCUGAAUGUAUUAUGAGAAUAAGGAUCGGCUAACUCCGUGCCAGCCGCAGC
rnacentral:rRNA from 1 species